rnacentral:rRNA from 1 species
CACGUAGGGUGCGAGCGUUGUCCGGAAUUAUUGGGCGUAAAGAGCUUGUAGGCGGUCUGUCGCGUCUGCUGUGAAAAUCCGGGGCUCAACCCCGGACUUGCAGUGGGUACGGCAGACUAGAGUGUGGUAGGGGAGACUGGAAUUCCGUGGUGAUAGCGGUGAAAUGCGCAGAUAUCAGGAGGAACACCGGUGGCGAAGGCGGGUCUCUG